AUAAAGAGUUAGGCAGGAUAGUGCUGAGCCAUCACUGGACAGCAUUAAAACAACCGUCUGUCCAGGGCUGCGUUACAGCCACCCACCGCAGCCCUCCUCUCUGCCACUGCAGUCCCACGUUCUGUACCACUACUGCCCUGUUGGCCGGAUUAACUCAUAGAACGGUGAAAAGACCAAACAGACAUCAUGUCUGAGAAAAAGAUGUCAUCGAGCCGCAAGCAUCAUCUGAAGAGCCUGAUGCUCCAGAUCGCCCAGGAACUGAUAGCGGAGGAGGAAGCCCAGUCUUUAGAGGACAGGAAGCAGUACAUGAGUGAAAACAUCACUCCCCUGCAGCUCACAGGAUCCAUUGCAGAACUCCAGGACCUGUGUAAGAAGAUGCACCAGAAGAUUGAUGUGAUAGAUGAGGAGAGAUACGACCUGGGCAGCAAAGUUGGCAAAAGUGACAAAGAGAUUGAGGAUCUGCAGAUUAAAGUACAAGACCUGAAGGGAAAGUUCAAGAAGCCCGUCCUGAAGAAAGUCUGCAUGUCUGCUGAUGCUAUGCUCCAGGCUCUGCUGGGCUCCAAACACAAGGUGUCCAUGGAUCUGAGGUCCAACCUGAAGCAAGUCAAGAAGGAGGUCAAGGAAGAGGACAAAGAAUCUGUGGGCGACUGGCGUAAGAACAUCGAAGACAAAUCAGACAGAAAGAAGAUGUUUGAGACUGCUAAGGAGUAGAUGUUCCUGGAGUUCCAGACAGGAAGAUGUUUGUGGCGGCUUGAACAACCUUCUGCCUUUGGUUACGAAGUUAUACAGUUACGACUCGUUUGUUUGUUUGUUUGUUUUUCGUCUCUGGCUAAAUUCAUCUAAGAUGUAGUUCCAUCACUCUAGGACUGUUGUGACAGGUGUUAAUGAAUUGUUAUGGUAUCUAAGAGGUAGUUCCAUCACUCUAGGACUGUUGUGACAGGUGUUAAUGAAUUGUUAUGGUAUCUAAGAGGUAAUUCCAUCUCCCUGGGACUGCUGUGACAGGUGUUAAUGAAUUGUUAUGGUAUCUAAGAGGUAGUUCCAUCUCUCUAGGACUGUUGUGACAGGUGUUAAUGAAUUGUUAUGGUAUCUAAGAGGUAGAUCCAUCUCUCUAGGACUGUUGUGACAGGUGUUAAUGAAUUGUUAUGGCAUCUAAGAGGUAGUUCCAUCUCUCUAGGACUGUUGUAAACAGGUGUUAAUGAAUUGUUAUGGUAUCUAAGAGGUAAUUCCAUCUCACUGGGACUGUUGUAAACAGGUGUUAAGGAAUUGUUAUGGGAUCUAAGAGGUAGUUCCAUCUCUCUAGGACUGUUGUAAACAGAUGUUAAUGAAUUGUUAUGGUAUCUAAGAGGUAGUUCCAUCUCUCUAGGACUGUUGUAAACAGAUGUUAAUGAAUUGUUAUGGUAUCUAAGAGGUAGUUCCAUCUCUCUAGGACUGUUGUAAACAGGUGUUAAUGAAUUGUUAUGGUAUCUAAGAGAUAGUUCCAUCUCUCUAGGACUGUUGUAAACAGGUGUUAAUGUGUGUAAUCAAAACAAUCUGUAGUUCUGUUAAGUAAUUUUGUUCCAAUUCAAUUUCUGAAAAUAAAUGA